ACCCUGAGGUAGCUCAGUUGGUUAGAGCAUGGUGGUGAUAACGCCAAGGUCACAGGUUUGAUCCCCGUUUGGGACA